GUAUCCUGACAGUCAACUGUUUAGCAUUAGCACCCUUUUUCAGUUCUAAAUUGAUUUAAAUCUCAUGAAAUCACUUUUGGUUUACAAGAGGUAUCUGUGUCACUGGUGCACAAGUUGCUCUGAAGCUCGUGGUGUUGUUUACAUGGGGUAAAAAAUAAAUCAGUUUGACAACUAGUGGAGAAUCUUUCUCCCAGGAUCUUUUCUCCCUUUCUUCAUCCUAGCAAUUUUUAAUUCUUAAUGCUGUCGAUUUUUUUAUAAGACUUGUACUUCUUAUGGUGGGACUGGACAUGGAUUUUUGUCAAAAGUUUUUUUUUUAGGUUUACUACAGAAAAGUUGAAGCAAGUCCUGCUCAACUUUUGCCUUUUCUUAUCAAGCUUUAAUCCUGUUUUGGGUGUGCCUCACCCUUCUCCUAACAUUGGAGGAACCAUACUAUGCUAUCAAAUUUAGCUCAGAAGAUAGAACCCAUCCUACUUCAGGUAUUUAUUUACGAUGUUGAUGUCAUUCAGCAUUUUUCCACCCCCACGAGCCUUUGCUUUGCUUUGCUUUGUAACCUCACAAUGUAGAAAAGGUUCAUUAACCCCUGCUCAAGCAGUACAUAAACCAGCAGCUACAACUCCACUCACCACAUUCAUUUUUACUAUUGUCAUUUGAAAAUGUCAGGAGCCAGAGAGCUAAACAGUCUGGGGACUAAAUGAACAAUUUGUCUGAGCUACAAUUAAAUGUUUCCAGACUCCUGGACAACUCCCAGCACCUGCAUUUUGUACUUCCCAGUGUGUGACCUUGACAGAUAAGAUCAGCUUCUCAAAAGCUGAGUGGAGGAUGGCACCGUGAAGUGUCCACAACAGCAAGAAAGAAGCAAUCCAUGGGUCACACUGGAUGCGUUUUAAGACAACUUUCUAGGAAUGCUUAUGCAUAAUUAAAGGCAGUGGAAAUAAUUUGCUCAAUUUGUUGGUUGGGCUUUUUAGGUGGCAGCUGAAAAAACUGCACUUCCAUGAAGCUCAAAUGCAGCAUGAAAGGAAGGUGGUUUCUGUCCAUCAGCUGCAGAGAUGCAGCCACCCCUGCCCCGAGCAGCCCCACGAGACAGGAGCACGCCAGGCUACAGGGCACCCUUUGCCUUUGGAUCUCUGACUGCAGGGAGUGCAAACUGUGCUUGUGUUAACCCUGGUGAUUUAAGAGACUCCAGAGCCAUAAUUCUUGUCCCUGGGAUUACAGACGGAGAACAAGCACAACAAGAAAGACGGGAGCGUUAAGCAGCUGCAUAAUUCCACCACCACAGAAGCCGCUGUGGCUACAAUUUUUGAGCACAUGAAAAGGAGGAAAGAAUCUUAUAGCAGGAUCAAAUGAAAGCCUGCACGAAUAAGAAUGCACAGGGAGAAAAUGUAUCCCACAAGCAAGAAAUAAGAUCAGAAAUUUACAACUCCACAUACAAAUAAAUAUGAAGAAGAAGCUCAUAACUCCUGGAGGAGCAGAAUGUGCUGCAAGCUAUACAAGUUAUCACUGAGCCAGGCACCUGGACUAAAAGUUGCUCACAAAAUCUUUAUAUGAGCUCCCAUAUUUUAUCUCCUCACCUAAAUUGCCUGUCUUGUGCAUUUCUUGUGCUAACUGAAGGCCCAAGUUGGCCAUUUGGGGCACCCCCCUAGGGAAGCCAAGGCUGAUUCCAAGUACAGCCACCAAGGGCAGUUCAGCUUUUUCUGGACUUCCAGAUUGUCUUGUUUUUAGCUGAGGGGAAACUCAUAAGUUUCCCCAAAGGGAAAUGCCAACAACUGUGGUUGCUCAAGAAUUUUCAAGAGCUGGAAAGAAAGGAGCUGUUGGAGCGUUAGGGUUUUUUUUUUGGAUGGUGGAGUUGUUUGACAGAGAGAAAAGAAAAAAGGAAUGUAACAGACCACACACACAAAUUAGUCACAGUUUGUAUUUUUCUUUUUUAAAGUAAAAUAUUCUCAGAAAACUGUCUCAGAGUUCUUGUUUUUAGUUUUCACUUUUCUACUCUAUUUUAAUUUGCAAUAAAUGAAAUUAAUUUUCCUUAUUGAGCCUGGUAGUUGUAUGUGGUGUCCCUGUCUGUAUGUCAACCCAUGAGCUUUUUCAUCUCGUUCUCACAUCCUGUUGAGGAGAGAG